UACGAAGGGGGGCUAGCGUUGCUCGGAAUCACUGGGCGUAAAGGGCGCGUAGGCGGACUUUUAAGUCGGGGGGUGAAAGCCCAGGGCUCAACCCUGGAAUUGCCUUCGAUACUGAGAGUCUUGAGUUCGGAAGAGGUUGGUGGAACUGCGAGUGUAGAGGUGAAAUUCGUAGAUAUUCGCAAGAACACCAGUGGCGAAGGCGGCCAACUGGUCCGAUACUGACGCUGAGGCGCGAAAGCGUGGGGAGCAAACAGG
rnacentral:rRNA from 1 species